rnacentral:tRNA from 1 species
GCGCCCGUAGCUCAGUGGAUAGAGCAUUUGACUACGAAUCAAAGUGUCGUAGGUUCGACUCCUACCGGGCGUGCCA